rnacentral:sRNA from 1 species
UGAAGAUGUAUUUGCGUGCGUUUUAUAAUGAGUUUAUGUGCAGCAUAAAAGUGGGAUGAUAAUCCCACGAUAUGCGAAUAUUGGGUAGGAUUGUGGGAGUGCAUAGCACGAAGCAAUCCGUAGGCAUCA